rnacentral:lncRNA from 1 species
GGCUCUAGUCUCUUCUCAGGGCCAUUGGUUAGAAGUAGUCCUUGGCACAUGGCAGGUACCAAUGAAAUAUUUAUCCACUUACUGGUUUCAGUAAAAGCUAGACCCAAAUGGUUCUUUGGUCUUUCCCCAGUGACUGUGGACUGUAAUCUUCUCAUGUUCCGGGUGUCGGUGAAAAAAAAUUUGUUUGGUGCUUGCAGUUCCUUGAAAGCUGAAGAACUGAUUCUUGGGACGGGUUGUCGAGUUAAUGGAGAGAAGCCAAAUAUAUUUGAGCUACACUAUUCUGUUACAGAGUGUGGGAUUCAGUUUGAGGCUUUUGAAACACAUGUGAUCUAUAAAAGUAAGCUCUAUUAUACUCCCGUGUGUGCCAUGUUUGGUCAUGCAUCAUGUGAAUUCCCCUUGACCUGCACAGUGUUUAGGACAACAAGCUCACGGAAGAUGGAGGAGGAGCCUGUUGCUAAUCUGCCAUCUCGGGACCACAAAGAAUCUCGUGCCCUGAGAAUGCAGGCUAGUGAAUAUGGCCCCAUCCAUUGGAGUCGAGAACUCUGUGGCAUCCUGGGGAGAUCAGGAAAAAUGUUCUCUUCAGAACAAAAGACUGACUCUUGGUAAGGAGACUUGGUAUCAUCUCUUUAAAGGGACUCUGGAAAACUGACUUAUGGCAGUUGGCUCCGUAGCUUUUGACCUCAAGGAACCCUCAGCCCACUGGGAGACAAGAGACAGGUUGGCAUACAGGAUAAGAGUUGACUAUAAAGUUAGGGAGAUCUGGGUUCAAGUCUUGUCUCUCUUGUUUGUUCCUUCUAUAAUCCUGGGCAAGCUAUUUACCUUCCCAGGAUUCUGAACAACUCCCUCUACAAGGUGGAGAGCAGGAGGCUCUACUAUGUUGGUACAGUCUGUAAGAGUUCCCUGCAUAGAUGAAAUAAUUGACGGUAUCCUCAACUUUAAGAUGAGAGAUAUAGAAAGAUAUAGGGAAUAUUAUGUAGAAUGGUUAUAUGCAAGAGGAGAACUGUAGCAGAAAGGAAGGUUAAUCCUAUUAUGGGUGUAGAGUUUGGGUCAGUUUAUGGUGAUGGCAUGUCUUAUGGGCAAUGAGAUUGGGUAAAUAUUUCUCUUGCCUCAGGAAGCCGGCCAGUAUACUAUAGGAUCUCUUUUCUAAUUCCACCUUUUCCCAUAGGAGCCGGUUCUUUGUCCCUGCCUUCACUCUGAGCUCUGUACUUUGCCACCUUUUUUGCCAUGGAGAUUUUGUACCAACUGCAUCCUAAGAUAUCACCAAGGAGGCAGCCACAAGAUGGCCAAUGCCACUAUUGUGUGAGCCUCACAACCCUGAUUCCAAACAUUGGGGAGUUGGCAUUGUUUAAGCUUGCCUUGGUGAGAUCCUCACUGUGUUUUUAAAAUUCAUUUAAAGGAUAAACACGCCCAAUUCUGUCCUUAUUUUAUGAUGUCUGUACACAAGGGGGCUAUGUGCAUUUUAAAUGAAGACUUGUAUGUGCAUAUAAUACACAGAUCAUAUGUAUGUUAUAAUUAUUUGCUAAUUUAAUAAAUCAAAUGCAUAUAUCUCA